GAUGAACGCUGGCGGCGUGCCUAAUACAUGCAAGUCGAGCGAACGGACGAGAAGCUUGCUUUUCUGAUGUUAGCGGCGGACGGGUGAGUAACACGUGGAUAACCUACCUAUAAGACUUGGAUAACUUCGGGAAACCGGAGCUAAUACCGGAUAAUAUUUUGAACCGCAUGGUUCAAGAGUGAAAGACGGUCUUUCUGUCACUGAUAGAUGGAUCCGCGCUGCAUUAGCUAGUUGGUAAGGUAACGGCUUACCAAGGCAACGAUGCAUAGCCGACCUGAGAGGGGGAUCGGCCACCAUGGAACUGAGACACGGUCCAGACUACUACGGGAGGCAGCAGUAGGGAAUCUUACGCCAUGGGCGAAAGCCUGACGGAGCAACGCCGCGUGAGUGAUGAAGGUCUUCGGAUCGUAAAGCUCUGUUAUUAGGGAAGAACAUAUGUGUAAGUAACUGUGCACAUCUUGACGGUACCUAAUCAGAAAGCCACGGCUAACUACGUG
rnacentral:rRNA from 1 species